rnacentral:rRNA from 1 species
GUAAUAAUCCUGUAGUCGAAAAUGUUGUCUCUCUUGAGUGGAUCCUGAGUACGACGGAGCACGUGAAAUUCCGUCGGAAUCUGGGAGGACCAUCUCCUAAGGCUAAAUACUCUCUAGUGACCGAUAGUGAACCAGUACCGUGAGGGAAAGGUGAAAAGCACCCCGGAAGGGGAGUGAAAUAGAACCUGAAACCGUGUGCUUACAAGUAGUCAGAGCCCGUUAAUGGGUGAUGGCGUGCCUUUUGUAGAAUGAACCGGCGAGUUACGAUUUGAUGCAAGGUUAAGCAGUAAAUGUGGAGCCGUAGCGAAAGCGAGUCUGAAUAGGGCGUUUAGUAUUUGGUCGUAGACCCGAAACCAGGUGAUCUACCCUUGGUCAGGUUGAAGUUCAGGUAACACUGAAUGGAGGACCGAACCGACUUACGUUGAAAAGUGAGCGGAUGAACUGAGGGUAGCGGAGAAAUUCCAAUCGAACCUGGAGAUAGCUGGUUCUCUCCGAAAUAGCUUUAGGGCUAGCCUCAAGUGAUGAUUAUUGGAGGUAGAGCACUGUUUGGACGAGGGGCCCCUCUCGGGUUACCGAAUUCAGACAAACUCCGAAUGCCAAUUAAUUUAACUUGGGAGUCAGAACAUGGGUGAUAAGGUCCGUGUUCGAAAGGGAAACAGCCCAGACCACCAGCUAAGGUCCCAAAAUAUAUGUUAAGUGGAAAAGGAUGUGGCGUUGCCCAGACAACUAGGAUGUUGGCUUAGAAGCAGCCAUCAUUUAAAGAGUGCGUAAUAGCUCACUAGUCGAGUGACACUGCG